rnacentral:rRNA from 1 species
UCGAGAAUAAUUCGCAAUGGACGAAAGUCUGACGAUGCGACGCCGCAUGAACGAUGAAGGCCUUCGGGUUGUAACGUUCUGUUGCCCUAGAACAAGAGUGACUGACGAAUAGGUGGUCACGAUGAGGGUAUAGGGAGAGGAAGCACCGGCUAAUUCCGUGCCAGCAGCUGCGGUAAUACGGAAGGUGCAAGCGUUAGUCGGAAUUACUGGGCGUAAAGGGUGCGUAGGCGGUGAUGUAAGUCGGACGUGAAAUUCCGGAGCUCAACUUCGGAACGGCGUACGAAACUGCAUCACUUGAGGAAUGGCGGAGAAAAUGGAAUUCCAUAUGUAGCGGUGAAAUGCGUAGAUAUAUGGAAGAACACCUGUGGCGAAAGCGGUUUUCUAGCCUACUCCUGACGCUGAGGCACGAAAGCAAGGGGAGCAAACA